GAUGAACGCUGGCGGCGUGCCUAAUACAUGCAAGUCGAGCGAACGGACGAGAAUCUUGCUUCUCUGAUGUUAGCGGCGGACGGGUGAGUAACACGUGGAUAACCUACCUAUAAGACUGGGAUAACUUCGGGAAACCUGAUCUAAUACCGGAUAAUAUUUUGAACCGCAUGGUUCAAAAGUGAAAGACGGUCUUGCUGUCACUUAUAGAUGUAUCCGCGCUGCAUUAGCUAGUUGGUAAGGGAACGGCCUACCAAGGCAACGAUGCAUAGCUGACCUGAGAGGGUGAUCGGCCACACUGGAACUGAGACACGGUCCAGACUCCUACGGGAGGCAGCAGUAGGGAAUCUUCCGCAAUGGGCGAAAGCCUGACGGAGCAACGUCGCGUGAGUGAUGAAGGUCUUCGGAUCGUAAAACUCUGUUAUUAGGGAAGAACAUAUGUGUAAGUAACUGUGCACAUCUUGACGGUACCUAAUCAGAAAGCCACGGCUAACUACGUG
rnacentral:rRNA from 1 species